AUUGAACGCUGGCGGCAGGCCUAACACAUGCAAGUCGAACGGUAACAGGAAGCAGCUUGCUGCUUCGCUGACGAGUGGCGGACGGGUGAGUAAUGUCUGGGAAGCUGCCUGAUGGAGGGGGAGAACUACUGGAAACGGUAGCUAAUACCGCAUAAUGUCGCAAGACCAAAGAGGGGGAACUUCGGGCCUCUUGCCAUCGGAUGUGCCCAGAUGGGAUUAGCUUGUUGGUGGGGUAACGGCUCACCAAGGCGACGAUCCCUAGCUGGUCUGAGAGGAUGACCAGCCACACUGGGACUGAGACACGGUCCAGACUCCUACGGGAGGCAGCAGUGGGGAAUAUUGCACAAUGGGCGCAAGCCUGAUGCAGCCAUGCCGCGUGUAUGAAGAAGGCCUUCGGGUUGUAAAGUACUUUCAGCGGGGAGGAAGGGAGUAAAGUUAAUACCUUUGCUCAUUGACGUUACCCGCAGAAGAAGCACCGGCUAACUCCGUG
rnacentral:rRNA from 1 species